rnacentral:rRNA from 1 species
GAUGAACGCUGACAGAAUGCUUAACACAUGCAAGUCUUUGGCGAAUCUGUGCUUGCACAGGCUAGCCAAGGCGGACGGGUGAGUAACGCGUAAAGAACUUGCCCUGCAGACAGGGAUAACAGACGGAAACGACUGAUAACACCUGAUACAGUUGCCGGCACGCAUGUGCCUGGCAAUGAAAAGAGAUGCUGCAGGAGAGCUUUGCGUCCUAUUAGCUUGUUGGUGAGGUGACGGCUCACCAAGGCGAUGAUAGGUAGCCGGCCUGAGAGGGUGAACGGCCACAAGGGGACUGAGAUACGGCCCUUACUCCUACGGGAGGCAGCAGUGGGGAAUAUUGGACAAUGGGGGCAACCCUGAUCCAGCAAUUCUGUGUGCACGAAGAAGGUUUUCGGAUUGUAAAGUGCUUUCAGCAGGGAAGAAGAAAGUGACGGUACCUGCAGAAGAAGCGACGGCUAACUACGUG